UAGGUGGAAGAACUAAAAUA
rnacentral:miRNA from 1 species